AUGGCACGAGCUCGCAAUUUAGUUGUUGCUGCUGGUUUAGUCGCUUUUGCUUCAGCAGGCAUGGCUUUUCCUUUCUACAUGGCUUCCUCGAAGAAACCGGUUAUUGAUCCAACAAAACCACUUUCGCCACAAGCUACUUUUCGAGGACCUUAUAUAAACACUGGUUCGCGCGAUGUUGGUCCUGAUCAUCAGACUUACCAAAAGAAGUGA